rnacentral:rRNA from 1 species
UACGUAGGGGGCGAGCGUUGUCCGGAAUUAUUGGGCGUAAAGAGCUUGUAGGCGGUUUGUCGCGUCUGCUGUGAAAAUCCGGGGCUCAACCCCGGACUUGCAGUGGGUACGGGCAGACUGGAGUGUGGUAGGGGAGACUGGAAUUCCUGGUGUAGCGGUGGAAUGCGCAGAUAUCAGGAGGAACACCGAUGGCGAAGGCAGGUCUCUGGGCCACUACUGACGCUGAGAAGCGAAAGCAUGGGGAGCGAACAGG